GACAGAGGGUGCAAACGUUGUUCGGAAUUACUGGGCGUAAAGCGCGUGUAGGCGGCGUAGCAAGUCGGGCGUGAAAGCCCACGGCUCAACCGUGGAAGAGCACUCGAAACUGCUGCGCUAGAGUUCUGGAGAGGAAGGCGGAAUGCAUGGUGUAGAGGUGAAAUUCGUAGAUAUCAAGCGGAACACCGGUGGCGAAGGCGGCCUUCUGGACAGUGACUGACGCUGAAACGCGAAAGCGUGGGGAGCAAACAGG
rnacentral:rRNA from 1 species